rnacentral:rRNA from 1 species
UACGGGGGGGGCAAGCGUUGUUCGGAAUCACUGGGCGUAAAGCGCACGUAGGCGGCUUUUUAAGUCAGGGGUGAAAUCCUGGAGCUCAACUCCAGAACUGCCUUUGAUACUGAGAAGCUUGAGUCCGGGAGAGGUGAGUGGAACUGCGAGUGUAGAGGUGAAAUUCGUAGAUAUUCGCAAGAACACCAGUGGCGAAGGCGGCUCACUGGCCCGGUACUGACGCUGAGGUGCGAAAGCGUGGGGAGCAAACAGG